UACAAAAAAAAAAAAAAUUAAGAAAAUUUUGAAGGAUUCUCGGCCAAGUUGAAUCUUGCCGAGAAUUGAGAAGUUGAAGGAGGAAAUUGUAUAUUUCAAAUUGUUGUAUAUAUUCAAGGAUUCCAACGUGAAUUGAUUUUCGGAGUCAAGUUGAGAAAGGCUAAAAGAGCGACGAGGCGAACGGAUUUACCAAUAGCCUCUAACAGGUACAGACGCUCGUUUCGGAGAUCCGCCAGCCUAGGAUAUCUAUUCAGCUAUUUUGGAGUGCUUCUUUGUUCCGGAGCCUAGCUUUGUGGUAUAGAUCCCUUUUGUUGUAUAUAUAUGUGUUUGUUCAAGGUACGGCGGGGCCCUGUCCCGUCAUAUGAUAUUGUUGUUACUCUUAGAGGUCUGUAGACAUAUGUGUGGGUCUGUAUAUAGUUGUUGUUUCGUUGUGUGGACAUGACUUAUGUGUGGGGCGUACCCAUUCGUAGUGGCAGCCUUGUCGGCUUGCGUAGAUAUAUAUAUAUAUUUGUUGUGGAAGGUGUGUAUAAUGGUAGCCUUGUUGGCUUAUGUAUUACUGGGACGUUCCCCUAUAUAUGACAGCCUUGUCGGCUUAUGUGUGAUAUAAUCUGUUGAA